rnacentral:rRNA from 1 species
UCCGUAGGUGGAUAAUUAAGUCAGAGGUGAAAUCCUGCAGCUCAACUGUAGAAUUGCCUUUGAUACUGGUUAUCUUGAAUUAUUGUGAAGUGGUUAGAAUAUGUAGUGUAGCGGUGAAAUGCAUAGAUAUUACAUAGAAUACCAAUUGCGAAGGCAGAUCACUAACAAUAUAUUGACACUGAUGGACGAAAGCGUGUGGAGCGAACAGGAUUAGAUACCCUGGUAGUCC